rnacentral:rRNA from 1 species
CAGCCGCCGCGGUAAUACGGAGGGUGCAAGCGUCAAUCGGAAUUACUGGGCGUAAAGCGCACGCAGGCGGUUUGUUAAGUCAGAUGUGAAAUCCCCGGGCUUAACUUGGGAACUGCAUUUGAAACUGGCAAGCUAGAGUCUUGUAGAGGGGGGUAGAAUUCCAGGUGUAGCGGUGAAAUGCGUAGAGAUCUGGAGGAAUACCGGUGGCGAAGGCGGCCCCCUGGACAAAGACUGACGCUCAGGUGCGAAAGCGUGGGGAGCAAACAGGAUUAGAUACCCGUGUAGUCCCUGUCUCUUAUAA